AUUGAACGCUGGCGGCAUGCCUUACACAUGCAAGUCGAACGGCAGCACGGGAGCAAUCCUGGUGGCGAGUGGCGAACGGGUGAGUAAAGUAUCGGAACGUGCCCAGUCGUGGGGGUAAAGGUGCGGAAAGUAAGGCAAAUCCGGCAACGGAUCAAGGGAUGAAACCGGGGAACCGAAAGACCUCGCCGGAUUGGAGCGGCCGAUAUCAGAUUAGGUAGUUGGUGAGGUAAAGGCUCACCAAGCCGACGAUCUGUAGCUGGUCUGAGAGGACGACCAGCCACACUGGGACUGAGACACGGCCCAGACUCCUACGGGAGGCAGCAGUGGGGAAUUUUGGACAAUGGGCGAAAGCCUGAUCCAGCCAUGCCGCGUGCAGGAUGAAGGCCUUCGGGUUGUAAACUGCUUUUGUACGGAACGAAAAGGUUUGGCCUAAUAAGCUGAGCUCAUGACGGUGCCGUAGAAUAAGCACCGGCUAACUACGUGCCAGCAGCCGCUGUAA
rnacentral:rRNA from 1 species